rnacentral:rRNA from 1 species
GAUGAACGCUGGCGGCGUGCCUAAUACAUGCAAGUCGAGCGAACAGACGAGGAGCUUGCUCCUCUGACGUUAGCGGCGGACGGGUGAGUAACACGUGGAUAACCUACCUAUAAGACUGGGAUAACUUCGGGAAACCGGAGCUAAUACUGGAUAAUAUAUUGAACCGCAUGGUUCAAUAGUGAAAGACGGUUUUGCUGUCACUUAUAGAUGGAUCCGCGCCGCAUUAGCUAGUUGGUAAGGUAACGGCUUACCAAGGCAACGAUGCGUAGCCGACCUGAGAGGAUGAUCGGCCACACUGGAACUGAGACACGGUCCAGACUCCUACGGGAGGCAGCAGUAGGGAAUCUUCCACAAUGGGCGAAAGCCUGACGGAGCAACGCCGCGUGAGUGAUGAAGGUCUUCGGAUCGUAAAACUCUGUUAUUAGGGAAGAACAAAUGUAUAAUUAACUAUGCACGUCUUGACGGUACCUAAUCAGAAAGCCACGGCUAACUUCGUG